GAUUCAUAGUUCAGUUGGUUGAGUUUCGCACUGGUAUCGCGAGGUCACGUGUUCAAACCCCGUUGAAAGUC
rnacentral:tRNA from 1 species